AUACGGAGGACGCGAGCGUUAUCCGGAUUCAUUGGGUUUAAAGGGUGCGCAGGCGGCCGUGCAAGUCAGCGGUGAAAGCCCGGGGCUCAACCCCGGAAGUGCCGUUGAUACUGCAUGGCUGGAAUGCGGUCGAGGCGGGCGGAACGUGGCGGGUAGCGGGGAAAUGCGUAGAUAUGCCACAGAACGCCGAUAGCGGAGGCAGCUCGCCAGGCCUGCAUGGACGCUCGGGCACGAAAGCGUGGGGAUCGAACAGGAUUAGAUACCCUGGUAGUCCACGCCGUAAACGGUGGGCGCUCGUCGUCGGCGGCAGACAGUCGGCGGCCAAGCGAAAGCGAUAAGCGCCCCACCUGGGGAGUACGGUCGCAAGGCUGAAACUCAAAGGAAUUGGCGGGG
rnacentral:rRNA from 1 species